rnacentral:rRNA from 1 species
UACGUAGGGAGCGAGCGUUGUCCGGAUUCAUUGGGCGUAAAGAGCUCGUAGGCGGCUUGGCAAGUCGGGUGUGAAAACUCCAGGCUCAACCUGGAGACGCCACCCGAUACUGCCAUGGCUAGAGUCCGGUAGGGGACCACGGAAUUCCUGGUGUAGCGGUGAAAUGCGCAGAUAUCAGGAGGAACACCGGUGGCGAAGGCGGUGGUCUAGGCCGGAACUGACGCUGAGGAGCGAAGGCGUGGGGAGCGAACAGG